rnacentral:rRNA from 1 species
CCAGCACCCCGAGUGGUCGGGACGAUUAUUGGGCCUAAAGCAUCCGUAGCCGGUCCUGCAAGUCUUCCGUUAAAUCCAGCUGCUCAACAGAUGGGCUGCGGGGAUACUACAGGGCUAGGAGGCGGGAGAGGCAAGCGGUACUUUAUGGGUAGGGGUAAAAUCCGUUGAUCCAUAGAAGACCACCAGUGGCGAAGGCGGCUUGCCAGAACGCGCUCGACGGUGAGGGAUGAAAGCUGGGGGAGCAAACCGGAUUAGAUACCCGGGUAGUCCCAGCUGUAAACGAUGCAGACUCGGUGAUGGGUUGGCUUCGUGCCAACCCAGUGCCGCAGGGAAGCCGUUAAGUCUGCCGCCUGGGGAGUACGGUCGCAAGACUG